rnacentral:misc_RNA from 1 species
AAUCAAGCCAGGUUAAACACUCUGGCACACCAUCAUUUCUAUUCUUGGUCACUAUUAAGGGUCCGAUACAGUAAACAAAUGGUGUGGUACUAUUGGGCACACAUGAUCCAUCCGAUAUUGCCUUUACAGCUCUGGCCUCAAGCAAUUCAAAGGUGUUUACGAUAAUUCCCGCAGAUUUGGGAAGGCAGUUAGUGAACUCUAAAAGGUAUUCAUAGGCCUUAUCGUAGCGAUCAAGCAUUGGCUUUGGCAUGUCAGUGGACAGUACUGGUGGAGCACCCGGAGCAUGGAGAAAAGUGUCAAGAUCUUUGAAACUUUUGGUAUUGUUGUCAUGAAUGGUCGGAAGAUAAAGGAAAAGAGCAAGACACGCAGCACCGGAAGUAAAGAAGAAAUAAACAGGGAUGUUGAGUUCAGAGGCAACAGAAAGAGAAGCAGCACAGAAGAAAUCCAUAAUUACGGCGUUAAUGGAGUGGCUUUUGGAGAUGGACAGAAGGGCUUGGCGGACAUGAGGCUUGCUGAGCCGGAGGACCUCAAAGGUGAGCGUUUCAUGAUGAGUGAUUGUCGUGGGAGGGAGAGUGAUGGUGGGAAGAUGGUGGAAGUAGAUUGAAGGAAUGGUGGCAGCCACUUCAGCAAUAUAAGGGGCAGUGGAGCCUGCACUGUAAGGUGCAGCGGUAAUGAAGAUCUGAAUGGAAAGGGAAGGUCGGUAGGAGAGUAUAAGCUUGCCUAACUCUACCAUAGAUAUCAAGUGGCCUAUAGCCGGUGAUGGGUAGAGAACUACAACCUCAUCCAUGGCUAUCGGUUGUGUUUCCUCAAGUCUCUGCGAGAAUGUGGGAGGGGCAGAGAGAGAGAGAGAGAGA